rnacentral:lncRNA from 1 species
GUUUUAUACAUUGCAUUGUACCGGAGAGAAGGUAUACAUUUAAAUAGGUUUUGCAGUCAGAAAGAGAAGGUGAAUACUGGGACAUAUCUGUAUAACAUGGAAUCCUAUAUAUCAGAGGAUAAAACAUUUUUGGGUCAUCCAGCACAUCUGUGAGAUUAAGAUAAACAUUUCAGUUUAAAUUAAUAAUAGCACCUUCUUGGGUGGUAGUCAGAAGCAGUUAAACAUUUCAACCAAACUUUUAAUUAGCAGAAAGUGAAGAGUUCUUUACCUUGAAUUUGACCAGAAACAUGAAUGACUGACACAGAACAGCAGAUAAGCUGUUGGAGGGAACCUCUGAACACCAUCUGGUCCAGCCUCCUACUUUAUGUGUGCCAACAACCGAUCAGGUCGGCAGUGGCUUUUCCUGGUCAUGUCAUGACCUCCAACGAUGGAAAUUUCACUGCAUCCAACUAAUAGGUUUCCAUGUUGUACCGAAUUCCUAGUAAAACAUUUUUCCUAAUAUCCAGGGUGAAUCUGCCAGGUCUUCAUUUGCAGCUGUUGCCCUGGGCUAUACUGUUUUACACAGCUGUGCAUCUCUGUUCUUUAUGAGCACCUCCCCAUUAGCACCUGUAGAUGGUAUGAGACUGCCCCUCAGCCCCUUUUUUGCUGGGCUACACCAGCCCAAUGCCCUCCCUCUCCCCAUGUGCUGCUAUCUGUAGCUCUCUGAUGGAUCCAUGCUAGUUUUUCAGCAGCCAUUUUGAAGUGGGAGGCCUCAAAAAUGGACGUAGAAAUCCAUGACAGCCUCACCAGCACCAAGAAGUUUUCAGCUCCUCGUGCUUCUGAGGAAGGUGAAGGACGAGAGGUGCCUCCUGGCGAGAAUCCUGCUGCCUCCUGGGGUAAUGGUGUGCUGGCUGCUCCCCCCACAUGACAUCCUUACAGGGCCAUGUCUCGUGCUGGUAUCUCUUUCUAUAGGGACUCAUUUGUGUUGCCUACAUCGCGUGCUGGAUUUAGAAGCCCUCCAGUGUUACCAUGGCAACAGUUUCUGCUUAAGUAUAGCUUAAGAGUGAGCAACUUCAGAAGAAGUGAAGGGCGGUUUGUGCAGACCCAUUUGUGACACUGAUGACAAUUGCACUGAGAGAGAAGCUAUAUCUUAGGUGACCUUACAGAAGCAGUGGGAACUGAGUGAUGUGUUCAGAAAUUUGAGUAACAAAAGGAUGCUAUUCAGAUUUUUGUAAUAAACAGUUGCUUGGUAACCA